GAUGCACUGGGAGGCGGGAGUCGAGCGAGAGGGAGAGAGAGAGAGAGAGAGAGAGAGAGAGAGAGAGAGAGAGAGGAGGGAGAUUGAUCGUUCGUCCUGGGCCUCUCACAUCCCAUCGGAGAACCACUUUAAUUCCUUUCUUAACGGUCACUAUUCCGUUUGGAUUACAGGCUGCAAGGAUUGUGGUGCUUUUGUUUGUUUUUGUUUGUUUGUUUGUUUUUUAUUUUAUGAUUAUUAUUAUUUUUGGAGGGUUCUUUUGUGUUGUUUCCCCUUAUUUGUUUAUGUGUGGCUGGUUUGCACUCGUAGGAGACGACGGAGGCAGCGAGCGGCAUCGGCAGCCUCAGCAUCUCCAAGCCUUCCCAUCCCCGGCCACGUCGCGCUUGACACGCGCGCGGUGCUGCACCGUCACGCGAGACGUGCGCGCACACUUCACCGGCAGCCGCACGCAGGGUCUCGGGAUGCGUGCAGCAGCGUAGCAGGGGAGUGACAUAUGUCUGCAGCUCACGCUCACACACAUCAGCGCCGACACGCUGACACACCAGUUAAAGCUGAGCAGUCACCAUGAGCGGUGGCAAUUCCUUUCGCAUAUGAGGCAGUUUGGGCUUGUCAUGGGGGCUGAGCGGAAGGAGAGAGUGACAGAGGAACAGUGAUGCUACUGUUUACAUAACAAGACAUUCACACACACAUGAACACACACUCGAAUCGCCAGUACGGGACACACAAUCGCUUACACACACGGACGCAAAGGGAAUGAUGCCAAGUGACUCACCGAACACUCAGAGGCACUGAAUGACACACACACACAUAAGAAGGAAAAGUUAUUUUCAAGGGUCAGCUUGGUGUGUGUGUGUGUGCCCGCGAUGUGUUUAUGGGCCGAGCUUCACGAGAGUUCCGGCUACCACUGAAGGCUCCUAAAUCCGCAGAAAACGCACACGGCCCGAUUCCCCCCCCCCCCCC